CCUACGGGGGGCUGCAGUGAGGAAUAUUGGUCAAUGGUCGGGAGACUGAACCAGCCAAGCCGCGUGAGGGAGGAAGGUACAGAGUAUCGUAAACCUCUUUUGUCAGGGAACAAAGGCGGGGACGUGUCCCCGGAUGAGUGUACCUGAAGAAAAAGCAUCGGCUAACCCCGUGCCAGCAGCCGCGGUAAUAAGGAGGAUGCGAGCGUUAUCCGGAUUUAAUGGGUUGAAAGGGAGCGUAGGCCGCAUGUCAAGCGUGCUGUGAAAUGUCCGGGCUCAACCCGGGCCUUGCAGCGGGAACUGGCGUGCUUGAGUCCGCGGAAGGCAGGCGGAAUUCGUCGUGUAGCGGUGAAAUGCUUAGAUAUGACGAAGAACACCGAUUGCGAAGGCAGCUUGCUGCAGCGGAACUGACGCUGAGGCUCGAAAGCGCGGGUAUCGAACAGGAUUAGAUACCCGAGUAGUC
rnacentral:rRNA from 1 species